UCUUACUCGCCCGGAAGAGACGGCCACGAGUUGCUCUGUCCCUCGAGGCUGGACGUGGGUGCCCCUCACCUCACUUCAGCAACCUCAGGUUGCAGCUGUGCGGCCUGAGCUGAUACCCUGGGCUUCCUUUCGCCGAGGAGAAAAACGCAUUUCCAGAGGGCUAUUCCUCUCGCCUAUUGCACCUCCUAUUUUAGCACGGCAUGAAGUGUCUUAAGGAGAUGACUGUCUCUUCGUCGCCUAGAUGUGAAGUUGGAAUGCUCGAUGGAUGGCAGUAGUUAUGUUUUCUAGAAUCCCAGUUGUUCAUACUAUUCCACUGAGCUCUCUUCAAUUUUAAAUCUUUCACAAACUGCGGUGUUCAAAAUUGGAAAAGAAACCCAGCUGAGGCUUGAACGGAGCAGAGUAGAACAGAAGAAUUGUUUAUAGGCUAUCUGACUGUUUCUAAUUUAUUAGUCUAUGCCUUUUUGCAUCACAGUGGCAUUGUUCACAUUUAGAUUGUCACCCAACUACACCCUUUUCUGUGAAACUGUUGCAUUAUCAGAACUCUGUAUCAGUAAGUCUCUUCUUGACAGAACAGUCCUUCUAUAAAAACUGAAAGACCCUGGAAAAGAAGUUAAAUUCUGCAGAGGGAGAUGGAAUAAGAUUUAAGAAAUAGAUGAUCCACUAUAGAGGAAAAAUUUAUUUGCCAUAGCUGAUGUCAAGUAGUUAGAAGUCAUUGAAUCUUUUUCCAGUGCUGCAGGUCUCCCACCAGCCUUCCCCAGACAGAGAUGUGGUUCUGCUCCUGUAAUGCUGGUCCCAGAUGUGGAUUCAAAGCCAAUUCAGCUGCUCUUCUGUGAGUCAGACGAAAGUACUGGGAGCAGUGUUUGCACAGCAUCAAGGCUUUCUCUGGUUCUCAGUGUGGCCUACUCCAGAGACUAGACUGGAGAAUGCACAAUGGAAAAGAAGGGGAGAUAAUCUCAACCAUCCAAAGACAUCUUCCUUGCCCUAUAACAUCAUGCUCAGCAAUAAAAGGGAAAAGAAAGGGUUUUAGGCAGGUUAGCAAUCUUUUGCUUGGGAAGUGGUUGAGCAUUGUUCUACUGUGGGAGGUGGUGAGCGAUUACCUUUGCAACAGUUGGGAUUUUUUUGUAUUUUUCUCCCUUCUUCCACAUAUCCUUCAUUUAUUUACUUUUUUUUUUUUUUUUCCCCUAUUGCUUUUAUUCUUUCUUUUUCCUCUGUGGGCAGCUGCGCUAAUUACAGAGUAGAAGCAGUCUUGGCCUUGAUAGGUCACAGCUGUGUCCAGUAAGGAUGAGUGUUAUAAAAGAGGGAGUGGUUGUGGAAGGAGUUGGUGCUGCAUGAUGUUGCCCAUGGGAUUACACGGGGGAAAGGUGGGAAAAUUUUACUGUAAGAUAAUAAACUGCAGAUGCUUGCCACCAUCUUCAGUGUCAGUCUUUUGAAUCCACCGUCAAUUGGUGCCCCAUGUUAGGAGCAAGCACCGACAUUCCCCAUCCAGCUGAGAGCUGGGGAAGUGAGCAGUCAGCUGUGUGGUGCUUACCAAACCACCAGGGUUAAUCCAUAACAGGAAGUACAGAAAGACUGUGGCAGAGCUUCCUUGUUAUUAACUUGUUUUAUUGACCAGUACUAAAUGAGUAUAAAAUGUCCAUGUUCUGCUUUAUUUAUCCAUUACAAGGCAACAGAGAUCACUGCUGUUGGUUUCAGUAAAGCUGCUUCUGAUUCAAGCUGUUCUACUUGAGAUGAUUGUCUAUUAAGGCUUCAAUUAGGUUUACUCUUGUUGGACUCCUCCGUGAAAAAUAUUUCACAAUAGAAAACAAAUGUAAUUGGGUAUAAAUCAUGAUUCACGGAACAACACCUGCUGUUCCAAGUUGGGACUGAAAAACACUAGGAGAGGUGUUAACACAAUGUGAGACAAAUGCUGAAAAGGUGUAAGUGGCUGUAGCACCAUUGUUUUCCAUGUGGGUACAUGCAUUCAGCCUUGUUUAUGUGUAUUUAGAUUGGGGUUUAGCAGAGUUAAUUAUAAAAUUUUUAAUAAGAAAUAUAAAUGUGAGGCAGCUGGAGUGCAUUCUGCUCUUCUUGGUUUUGUUGUUGCAGCUGAUAUUUCUCAUACAAUAAACAAGCUCUGUUAGA